rnacentral:tRNA from 1 species
UGGGCUAUGGGGUAAUUGGCAGCCCGACGGUUUCUGGUUCCGUUAGUCUUGGUUCGAGUCCAGGUAGCCCAG